GAUGAACGCUGGCUACAGGCUUAACACAUGCAAGUCGAGGGGAAACGACGGGGAAGCUUGCUUCCCCGGGUGUCGACCGGCGCACGGGUGAGUAACGCGUAUCCAACCUGCCUCUGACUGAGGGAUAACCCGUCGAAAGUCGGCCUAAUACCUCAUGGUAUCGUCUGCGGGCAUCCAACGACGAUUAAAGAUUUCAUCGGUCAGGGAUGGGGAUGCGUCUGAUUAGCUUGUUGGCGGGGUAACGGCCCACCAAGGCUACGAUCAGUAGGGGUUCUGAGAGGAAGGUCCCCCACAUUGGAACUGAGACACGGUCCAAACUCCUACGGGAGGCAGCAGUGAGGAAUAUUGGUCAAUGGGCGAGAGCCUGAACCAGCCAAGUAGCGUGCAGGAAGACGGCCCUAUGGGUUGUAAACUGCUUUUAUGCGGGGAUAAAGUGAGGGACGUGUCCCUCAUUGCAGGUACCGCAUGAAUAAGGACCGGCUAAUUCCGUG
rnacentral:rRNA from 1 species